rnacentral:rRNA from 1 species
UGCUAUACAUGCAAGUCGAGCGGACAGAUGGGAGCUUGCUCCCUGAUGUUAGCGGCGGACGGGUGAGUAACACGUGGGUAACCUGCCUGUAAGACUGGGAUAACUCCGGGAAACCGGGGCUAAUACCGGAUGGUUGUUUGAACCGCAUGGUUCAGACAUAAAAGGUGGCUUCGGCUACCACUUACAGAUGGACCCGCGGCGCAUUAGCUAGUUGGUGAGGUAACGGCUCACCAAGGCGACGAUGCGUAGCCGACCUGAGAGGGUGAUCGGCCACACUGGGACUGAGACACGGCCCAGACUCCUACGGGAGGCAGCAGUAGGGAAUCUUCCGCAAUGGACGAAAGUCUGACGGAGCAACGCCGCGUGAGUGAUGAAGGUUUUCGGAUCGUAAAGCUCUGUUGUUAGGGAAGAACAAGUGCCGUUCAAAUAGGGCGGCACCUUGACGGUACCUAACCAGAAAGCCACGGCUAACUACGUGCCAGCAGCCGCGGUAAUACGUAGGUGGCAAGCGUUGUCCGGAAUUAUUGGGCGUAAAGGGCUCGCAGGCGGUUUCUUAAGUCUGAUGUGAAAGCCCCCGGCUCAACCGGGGAGGGUCAUUGGAAACUGGGGAACUUGAGUGCAGAAGAGGAGAGUGGAAUUCCACGUGUAGCGGUGAAAUGCGUAGAGAUGUGGAGGAACACCAGUGGCG